AUUGAACGCUGCCGGCAUGCUUUACACAUGCAAGUCGAACGGCAGCACGGACUUCGGUCUGGUGGCGAGUGGCGAACGGGUGAGUAAUACAUCGGAACGUACCCAGUAAUGGGGGAUAACUAUCCGAAAGGAUAGCUAAUACCGCAUACGCCCUACGGGGGAAAGAGGGGGAUCGCAAGACCUCUUGUUAUUGGAGCGGCCGAUGGCUGAUUAGCUAGUUGGUAGGGUAAAGGCCUACCAAGGCAACGAUCAGUAGCGGGUCUUAGAGGACGAUCCGCCACACUGGAACUGAGACACGGUCCAGACUCCUACGGGAGGCAGCAGUGGGGAAUCUUGGACAAUGGCGCAAGCCUGAUCCAGCAAUGCCGCGUGCGUGAAGAAGGCCUUCGGGUUGUAAAGCGCUUUUGUCAGGGAGCAAAUCCUUGUGGCUAAUACCCACCGGGGAUGAGAGUACCUGAAGAAUAAGGACCGGCUAACUACGUGCCAGCCGCCGCCGUAAUAC
rnacentral:rRNA from 1 species